ensembl:miRNA cin-mir-4099 cin-mir-4099
UUUGGCACCAUGACGAUCAACUUAUAAACUAUGUAGUUAGCAACUUUAUUGCUUAUUGGUAUAAAGCAUAGUAGCGGAUUGACAUGGUGUCAGA